rnacentral:ncRNA from 1 species
AUAAAAGCUAAGAAGAGAAGAGUAAGUAAGGAUUUUUUCUACAGAGAGCUAGGUUAGGUGAAAGCUAGUGCUAAAAGAAUUACUGAAGAUGGCCUUGGAGCUUUUUAUCCGAAGUAAUUUAGGAUAAAACAUUUAGACAUGUUACAGUCUACUAAGAUAUCUAUUUGAGAAAUUAGAUUUUUUUAUUGUAUAAUAGAUAAAUUAGGGUGGUACCGCGAAUAAUCUCGCCCCUAUG